rnacentral:rRNA from 1 species
AUUGAACGCUGGCGGCAGGCCUAACACAUGCAAGUCGAACGAGUGGCGGACGGGUGAGUAAUGUCUGGGAAACUGCCUGAUGGAGGGGGAUAACUACUGGAAACGGUAGCUAAUACCGCAUACCAUCAGAUGUGCCCAGAUGGGAUUGGCUAGUUGGUGGGGUAACGGCUCACCAGGGCGACGACCCGUAGCUGGUCUGAGAGGAUGACCAUCAACACUGGAACGGGAAAAGGGUCCAGACUCCUACGGGAGGCAGCAGGGGGGAACAUUGGACAAUGGGCGCAAGCCUGAGGCAGCAAUGCCGCGGGGAUGAAGAAGGCCUUCGGGUUGUAAAGUACUUUAAGCGGGGAGGCGUUACCCGCAGAAGAAGCACCGGCUAACUCCGUGCCAGCAGCCGCGGUAAUAC